rnacentral:rRNA from 1 species
ACGGGUGAGUAAUAGGUAGGAACAUGCCCUUCAGAGGGGGAUAACCGAGGGAAACCUUGGCUAAUACCGCAUAAUCUCGAGAGAGUAAAGCUGCCCGCAAGGGUGGCACUGAAGGAGUGGCCUGCGUCCGAUUAGCUAGUUGGUGGGGUAAGAGCUCACCAAGGCGAUGAUCGGUAACUGGUCUGAGAGGACGACCAGUCACACUGGGACUGAGACACGGCCCAGACUCCUACGGGAGGCAGCAGUGGGGGAUCUUGGACAAUGGGGGAAACCCUGAUCCAGCGAUGCCGCGUGGGUGAAGAAGGCCUUCGGGUUGUAAAGCCCUUUAGGCUGGGAAGAAGUUUGGUGGAUGAAUAAGCCAUCAGAUUGACGGUACCAGCAGAAUAAGCACCGGCAAACUCUGUGCCAGCAGCCGCGGUAAUACAGAGGGUGCGAGCGUUAAUCGGAAUUACUGGGCGUAAAGGGCGCGUAGGCGGUUUAAUGAGUGUGAUGUGAAAGCCCCGGGCUUAACCUGGGAAGUGCAUUGCAAACGAUUGAACUGGAGUAGUGGAGAGGGUGGCGGAAUUUCCGGUGUAG